UGAGAGCUCAAACAGAUAAAAUCAACCUCAAUAUCAUCUUGAUUGGCAAGUCAGCAGAGCAUGCAGUCUAAUUAUAUAUGGGUAGAGGUCAAGGUGACAGGAGUAAAGAAAAUAUAGAAAUCGUGAAAAUUUAAGCAUUUUAUUGGUAAUCACUUUGUCUGUUUGCCCAUACACAUAAGCUGAAUUAUCUUAUUUCAAGGAAGUUGUUUUGACACCUGUGCAGUGAAAAGGUUUGAUAUAAAAUCAAAAUAAAUUACAUUACAUCAUUGAA